GACUGUGCUCUAAGCUUUGACAUUUUAUUUUGUGGCCAUUACUUUGAAAUACAGAUAUUCCUUAUACUACACCUGAUUCCCAGCUUGAAAGAAAUUGUGUUUGUUCACAGCCUUCGUUGUUGCAGAGAGAUGUACAAUGGUGACGUCUGCUCCCCUGCCAGCUCUUUUCAUUUUGUCUCUGGAGUCACUUGCUCGUGCUAUUAAAUAAUGAAGGGUUUCAAACUUUGUGCCCCAUCCCAUCAAAGUUUAAAGCACUUUAUUCUUUGAAUUGACUUUAUAUGUGGGUGGCAUACAAGCAUUUAUCUGGGAUUGAACCAAAAUGUUUUCUGUUGUGUUUCUCUAAUUGACGAGUUCAGACUCAUAUCAGGAUUUUCUAUCAAAUGGAAGGUCAGAACUAUUGCUAUUAGAUAUGAAUUCUCCCAAGCAAGAUAAUUGUCCUGGCACCAUUACCAAGAAUUUUAGUAUCAAAAAGCAACUUGACAACGGUACGACUGUACCAGUUGUACUGCGGUAUAGUUCCUUUUCCAUAAGCAUAUAGGAUCAAAUAAAUGUGAUAAAAAUUAAUGUUAUCACCUGACUGUUGGACAUCAUAAGAGAUCUGUCCUCCAUAUUCCAAAAUACAGAUUACCAUCUGAGAGAGUCUGCUGAUGUGGUGCAAAAGAUAUUUCUCCAUAGCCAAUUCAGAAGUAUUAAUUAAGUAGAUUUUUGUCUGCCAUCCUAUUUACUACAGUGCAUAUGUCUUAUCUCCAUAAAGAGUGUAAUAGGAAAGGGGAUGCUCCUGUUAAGACUACGAAAUGUAGCUUUCUGGUCUGUCAGAACCUGAAGUGACAGACCAGGUACCCACUGACACAUAGUGGGCAGUACCUAGGUUGCAGUAUAGAUAGAUAUCCCUCUGUUUGAAAUGCUGGUGACAAAGACUGAAAAUUGGGUCACUAAUUCAUAUGAUAAUACACGGAGUUAAUACAUAAUAUUAACUCCUUUUUAGCGUGACACUUUGGUAAUAGCCCUGCUUUUUAAAGACAUACACAUUUUAAGCUACAAUCACUAUUUGGAAUAUUUAGUCCCACUAUUUGGAACCUAGUAAAAAUUCACAAUUGUGGAGCUUAUUUCCAAAA